rnacentral:tRNA from 1 species
GGACACGUGCCUGAAACUAAAGGAUUACCUUGAUAGGGUAAAUAAUAGAGGCUAAAAUCCUCUCGUCUCCU